rnacentral:lncRNA from 1 species
GGAAAAGAGGAAGAGAUAGGAGAUUUCUCUCUCCUCCUUGUGAGGAUACAAGGAGAAGAUGGCCAUCAGCACAUCAGGAAGAGAGCCAUCAAUAGAACCGAAUCAACAGACACCUUGAUCAUGGACUUCUGAGCCUCCUGAACUGAUGAAGGCUCAGAUCAGUUUCAUCUAUAUGCUAUGCCUGCCUGACCUGGAGAACUUGGUGUUAAAGGAAAUGUGUUUAUCAAAUGUGUCAUGUUAUCCUUGGAGGGCAACUGAGGAUCAGAGCACAGCUGCCUUGAAUUGUUCCAUCGAGUUAUUCCACUGCAGUUAAGUGGAACAUCAAAAAACGUCAAGAAGCCUAAAACAUGGAAACUUGUUUAAUUUUCUCAAACAAUGGCACUAACCAAAGCAAACGAAACUUUGACAAGAAAGAAGCAAUUGUUUAGCCUUGUCAUGUCCUCACAGUUAAUAAUACAAAGGGUAUAUUCACAGUGCAAAGAUACUUUCCCUUUCUCUCAAAAUAGAAGACAACGUAUUGUAAGAUAUUUUACAGAUGUCCUUCCUCAUAGAACUCUGUAAACUUUACUAGCUCAAGAACAAAAUCAAAGUUUCAAUUCACGGGACUGAUUCAUCUUGCAUUUUAGGUAUUCUAAUGGUAUAUUUGUACUGUGUGUUGCAACCUAUAGAAUAAAUGUACUUCUUCUUCA